CCUACGGGGGGCAGCAGUGAGGAAUAUUGGUCAAUGGACGAGAGUCUGAACCAGCCAAGUCGCGUGAAGGAUGACUGCCCUAUGGGUUGUAAACUUCUUUUAUAUGGGAAUAAAAUGUUCCACGUGUGGGAUUUUGUAUGUACCAUAUGAAUAAGGCUCGGCUAACUCCGUGCCAGCAGCCGCGGUAAUUCGGAGGAUCCGAGCGUUUUCCGGAUUUAUUGGGUUUAAAGGGAGCGUAGGUGGGUAGUUAAGUCAGUUGUGAAAGUUCGCGGGUCAACCGUAAAAUUGCAGUUGAAACUGGCAGUCUUGAGUACAGGAGAGGUAGGCGGAAUUCGUGGUGUAGCGGUGAAAUGCUUAGAUAUCACGAAGAACUCCGAUUGCGAAGGCAGUACACUGGACUGCAACUGACACUGAGGCUCGAAAGUGUGGGUAUCAAACAGGAUUAGAUACCCGAGUAGUC
rnacentral:rRNA from 1 species